UCGUCACACUAUCAUUAACUGAAUCCAUAGGUUAAUGAGGCGAACCGGGGGAACUGAAACAUCUAAGUACCCCGAGGAAAAGAAAUCAACCGAGAUUCCCCCAGUAGCGGCGAGCGAACGGGGAGGAGCCCAGAGCCUGAAUCAGCAUGUGUGUUAGUGGAAGCGUCUGGAAAGGCGCGCGAUACAGGGUGACAGCCCCGUACACAAAAGCGCAUGUGCUGUGAGCUCGAUGAGUAGGGCGGGACACGUGGUAUCCUGUCUGAAUAUGGGGGGACCAUCCUCCAAGGCUAAAUACUCCUGACUGACCGAUAGUGAACCAGUACCGUGAGGGAAAGGCGAAAAGAACCCCGGCGAGGGGAGUGAAAAAGAACCUGAAACCGUGUACGUACAAGCAGUGGGAGCACCCUUUGGG
rnacentral:rRNA from 2 species